rnacentral:rRNA from 1 species
GAUUAUUAAAGAAUUUCGGUUGUCGAUGGGGAUGCGUUCCAUUAGGCAGUUGGCGGGGUAACGGCCCACCAAACCUACGAUGGAUAGGGGUUCUGAGAGGAAGGUCCCCCACAUUGGAACUGAGACACGGUCCAAACUCCUACGGGAGGCAGCAGUGAGGAAUAUUGGUCAAUGGACGAGAGUCUGAACCAGCCAAGUAGCGUGAAGGAUGACUGCCCUAUGGGUUGUAAACUUCUUUUAUACGGGAAUAAAGUGAGCCACGUGUGGCUUUUUGUAUGUACCGUAUGAAUAAGGAUCGGCUAACUCCGUGCCAGCAGCCGCGGUAAUACGGAGGAUCCGAGCGUUAUCCGGAUUUAUUGGGUUUAAAGGGAGCGUAGGCGGGUUGUUAAGUCAGUUGUGAAAGUUUGCGGCUCAACCGUAAAAUUGCAGUUGAUACUGGCGACCUUGAGUGCAACAGAGGUAGGCGGAAUUCGUGGUGUAGCGGUGAAAUGCUUAGAUAUCACGAAGAACUCC